AGGUCCUUUCAGAAAGGGCUGAUUGGCCUGUGAGCCCAGGAGCUCUUCAUUCCCUGACGUCCUCCUCAGGAGGCCCCGUGCACUCAGUAGUAAUGCUUCCUGAGGAGCCAUAAGA
rnacentral:snoRNA from 1 species